rnacentral:rRNA from 1 species
AUUGAACGCUGGCGGCGUGCUUAAUACAUGCAAGUCGAGCGGGCCAAAGAGAGCUUGCUCUCUGAGGUUAGCGGCGGACGGGUGAGUAACACGUGGGUAACCUGCCUGUAAGACGGGGAUAACUUCGGGAAACCGAAGCUAAUACCGGAUGAUAAAGAGAAACGCCUGAUUCUUUUUUGAAAGUCGGCCUUGUGCUCACGCUUACAGAUGGGCCCGCGGCGCAUUAGCUAGUUGGUGAGGUAACGGCUCACCAAGGCGACGAUGCGUAUCCGACCUGAGACGGUGAUCGGCCACCCUGGGACUGAGACACGGCCCAGACUCCUACGGGAGGCAGCAGUAGGGAAUCUUCGGCAAUGGACGAAAGUCUGACCGAGCAACGCCGCGUGAGCGAUGAAGGCCUUCGGGUCGUAAAGCUCUGUUGUCAGAGAAGAACAAGUACCGGAGUAACUGCCGGUACCUUGACGGUACCUGACCAGAAAGCCACGGCUAACUACGUGCCAGCAGCCGCGGUAACAC